rnacentral:rRNA from 1 species
UACGUAGGGUGCGAGCGUUAAUCGGAAUUACUGGGCGUAAAGCGUGCGCAGGCGGUGAUGUAAGUCAGACGUGAAAUCCCUCGGCUUAACCGGGGAACUGCAUCUGAUACUGGAUGGCUUGAGAUUGGGAGAGGGAUGCGGAAUUCCAGGUGUAGCGGUGAAAUGCGUAGAUAUCUGGAGGAACACCGGUGGCGAAGGCGGCAUCCUGGACCAACACUGACGCUGAGGAGCGAAAGCCAGGGGAGCAAACGGG